UAACACGCACUACGUGUUAACGCGUAAAUCACGUGUUAACACGCACUACGUGUUAACGCGUAAGUGCGUGUUAACACGUAAAUCACGUGUUAACGCGUUAGAAAUCAUGGACAUGGAGUUUUACCACCAUCUAGUGGUGUGGCGAAUCUGACCUAAAUACACAGAACGGACAGAUAGAUAGGAUUGUAAAUUGAAGUAUUUUAUCCUAAAUAUAUAUUUUUAAAAGUAAUUAACAGUGAAUAAUGAUCAUAAAUAGUUUACAGCUUGGACUAUAUAUAAUAAUUAUAGUAUAAUUUAAUUUUGUUAUAAAUAAUUUUGUUAGCUUUGUGAAUUAGCCAAUAGUCCCAAUUUCUAUUUACUUUGUGUCUAAUGUCUUGUUCUUUUAGUACCUGCCUAUGGAAAGAAUUAUAUUCUUAAAAAUAGAGGUGUUAAAUGAUGACACAGUAGUGUCACACAAUUCUUAUAAACAGUAGAGGAUGAUUAAUAUUGCAAGAAAAAAUUCUUUAAACACUAGUUAACCACAGGUAAUCUAAUUAAGUUUAUGUUAAUAACAAAUGGUUAAUAGCAAGAUUAUGAACGUAAAUGAAAUGUAUGCUCAAGCAGAUGGUACAUCUGCAUCAUUUUUGAACACACACACACACAUUAUGAUGUUCUACGUAUGAAGUCUUUGGACUACCUGCCAUCAUGAUCUGAUUGCACUUAAAGCUAGUUCAACUAGUUUAUAAAUGCCUUAUAAAAUUUGUUUUUCACUAGUGUCAUACACAUAUCCUUAAUAAUACAGUAUAGCAAUACCACACUAUAUAAUUACAACCAAUUUAGCAUAUGAACAACAGAUGGAACUCUAUAUGUAUGGCCUAAUGGGAGAACAUCAAUGUCAUUGUAUAGAGCAGUUAGGCUUUAAAACAUGCUUUUUGAGUUUAAUUAAUAAUCUUAUUUUGUCUGAAGGAGGCUCUCUACUACAAACCUUUUAAGCUUUUUUGUUUUUACUUUUUGGCACGCGUUGCCUCAGACAAAGUUUCCAUAUCAGAAAGUAUGUGUCAUAGAUCAAUCUGAGGCUUCCAAUGGAUUAGUCACGCUCAGACUGUUUCUUUGUCAUAGUAACUAGAACUACUCUGCAGCAGAUACUAGAACAAUUAUGCAAAUGUAAUAAACUUUUGAUGCUUUUUUUCUGUGUAUUUUCUGAUCUAUAAGACACUUUGGAUGAAUGUAUAUGCUAAAUGAAUAAAUGCAUAUGUGAUGACUGGAAAAAAAGAAGAAUGGCAAUAAAACACAUGUCUAUAGCUUUGAUUGGAAUUAAAAAAAAUGUGCUUUCUUGUUUUCACCUUUAGCACCUUUUAACUCCAAGCAGAUAUGAGACAGAUAGGCUACUCACUACAGGGGGCUGCAAGAAUAAAACAAAAUAUUUAUUUUUGAUUAUGCCCUCGAUAAUCAUGAUAAUUAAUGUUGAUUAAUAGACUACAUUAAAAUGCUUAAUUGCAUUUUUAUAGGUAAUUCAUUUUAUAGGCUAAAACGUUUGAAUGGUUUUUGCUUGCUUACUAAUUUAAGACAUCACACUAACUUUCUGAGUGACAUGGAAACAAAAGGUUUUUCAAACUUGGACUAAACGGGACUCUAAUUAGUUAUGAAAAAUUUAGUCAAGAAAACAGUAUUAAUAUUACUCAAAGAGAUUUUCUAAGAAUAAUUAAGGGUAUUUCCCCUAAACUUCUACAGCUUAUCAGAUCAUCCUUACAAUACUCUCCUUUAAGGGAAGACAUUCCUCAAAUAAUGAUAGAUGGUAUUGACUUGUUAGAUAAAAAAAUGCAAUAAUAUUCAUAUCAGAAGAACAUUAAUCUUUAUAAGUAGUAUUUCUCCUAAAGCAGUGUCUUCAUGGAAACGGUUAUAUCCUUCUGUAUCUUUAUCUAACAUAUGGUCUAUUCAUAAUAAGUUUGUGAUACCAAAUAAAGUCAAAGAAAUCCACCUUAAAAUCCUUCAUAUUUUUUACCCCUGCAAGUUAUUUUUAUCUAAAUUUAUGGAUAUUCACCCAGAGUGCUCUUUUUGUGGUUCUGAAAAUGAAUCAGUGAUUCAUUUGUUUGUUAAAUGUCCCUUUACAACACCAUUUUGGAAUGAAAUUUCAAGAUUGAUUUUUACAUCCUUUAAUAAUCUUAUUGACUUCACUGAAGAAAUGGUCCUGUUUUUGUCAUGUAAUACUGGUUCUGUUCCUUUAAACAAUACUAUUAAUAUCCUGUGCUUGCUUGGAAAAGGUCAUAUUAAUAAGUGUAAAGUUACAGCCUCAAAACCUAAUUUUAUUGCAUUUUGCUCAGAAUUAAAAGGUUUAACUGAAUCUCUUUGUAAAUUAAAGAAUAACAAAAAAGCAGUUAAAUCAUACCAGAUAUUAAAUAAGGUUUUGAAUUCACAUGUAAUUUGAGAUAUGAUAUUUAGAUGAACUUUCCUACCCCCUACUUGAGUAAAAAUAUAAAAAUUAUUUUAUGUCUAUGUAUGUUUUUUCUUUAUUUAUUUUCUUUCUUUAUUUUAUUAUUAUUUGUUUAUUUAUUUCAUUAUUAUUUUUUAUAACUGUAAAUCCCUCAUAAAAGAAUGUUUGUUCUUAUUACUUUAUAAUACUAUGUUAUUGUAUAAUACUAUUUGUAUGUAUAAUACAAAUGUUAAUUGUUACUGACAUUAUGGUAAUAAUAAAAAAAAAAACAGAAAAAAAAACUCGUUUUAGUCAUUUGUGCAUUGCAUGUCGUUACCACUAAUGAGCACAAGAUGGCAGAUGACUUCUUCGCCACUAUCAUUUUGAGUCGUAUUUUAAAGGAAGAUUUACAAGCAAUAGCAUGCAAUGAUUUUACUAUAGCCAACUUAUUAAAUGAAGAUCCAAAACCAGGAAGUCAAAUGCAGUUUGAGAUUUAUUAAGAAUAGUGUGUUAUAUAACAGGAUAUAGAAGAGGCAGAUCAUUAUUUUCACACUCCAUCACAGCAGGUGGCGGUAUGCACCUUUAAAGUUGGUUCGUAACCCGCCAUUAAACCAAAAGAAGAAGAUGAAGAUUGUAACGUCAGCUCAUCGUAAGCAUUAGGUAAGUGCUCGCUCACAAGCUUAUGAAUAAUUAUAUUGCAGCGAAUGCGUUACGACAGGCACUGUCAUUGUGUGAAUAAUUAAUGAUAUAGUGAUCCAAGCAUUACGUCGAGUUUGCCGUAAGCUUACCUCAUAGCCAUAGUAAGCCAGGUUUGCUGACGGACACGGAAGAGCCAAAAAGUACUAUUGAGGAAUACAAACGCAAAAGCAGCAGCAGUAACAACAACAGAAAACAGUUUUGUUAGAUAAAUGGCCUUGGGCAAAAGUCUUUAUAACUGCAAUCACAUAAGUUAGUGGAAACAGUGUCAGGCUUUCCCAGAUGGAGACAAUAUAGUGAGAUUAUUCACCCAGUGUUUAUUCACAAGAUUGACCGAAGCUUAUUUAGAUGACCAAAUUAUGAACAUUGUGACCCACCCUGAGGCUGUAAGAGUGUGCCUGAUGAGAGAAUGCAUACUUGAAGCAGUUAAAGGACUUAAUAUAUUCAAGAAGACCAAGCAAUCCUUAUAGGACUACAUGCAAAGCAAUGUACUCCAGACCGCACAACUGGACAUACAGAUUGUGCCCUGAUGCCAUCUGCCCCGUUCUCCCAGCCUCAUCUUCCCUCUCUAUGCCUAGCUUCACAUCGGUUGGCUCUUCUUUGGCUCUCUUCAUCUCGUCUGCCUGCCUCGCUGCUCUCCCUGAUAACAUUUCCUGACUGAUGCCUUGCACUCUGACUCUUUCUGUAAGGUGCCAUUCUCAGCAGUGACUCAAUUUAGUGCCACCCUGCUGCUUGGCAUUGCACUUCUGAGGUCAUCACCAUCUUUCUUCAGCCAACCAAAAUUAUUCUCACCAACAACCCCGGCUCUGCUAACCUUGAUGUUGGAGAUCUGCUGUUUUUGAA